rnacentral:rRNA from 1 species
UCGAGGAUCUUCGGCAAUGGGCGCAAGCCUGACCGAGCGACGCCGCGUGCGGGAUGAAGGCCUUCGGGUUGUAAACCGCUGUCAGAGGGAAUGAAAGGCCAUGGGGUACUCUCCAUGGUUUGACAGCUCCUCAGAGGAAGUACGGGCUAAGUUCGUGCCAGCAGCCGCGGUAAGACGAACCGUACGAACGUUAUUCGGAAUCACUGGGCUUAAAGGGUGCGUAGGCGGUGCGGAAAGUUGGGUGUGAAAU